rnacentral:lncRNA from 1 species
UUGUAGUUCUCACUUCCACCUAUGUUCUGAUUGAAACAUGAAUGUAAAAGAAUUUGAAAAUAACAAUGGAUUGAUAUAUCAUUAGAAAAUGAAAAUGCAAAGUUACAUCUUGGAGAUCUUGAUCCAAGUUUGUGCAAAUGCAAAGUUAGACAACCCCACACUUGCUGCAAGGGCAGCAUUUUUUUAAAAUACAAAUUUCAACUCAAAUGUGGGGUAUUGUUGGUUUUUGCAAACAUGUUUGAGUUGAAAUUAGUCUCACAAAAAUAUUCACGACCUUCAGUAUCUUAUCAAUGGCUUCUCUUGCAUAACCGGACAUGAGCGGUUUUGUUGCCAAAAGUCAUCCAUCACAUCACAUCUACAAGUCGAUAAUUCUCAUUUGCAGUUGCGUUUGGUGACAGCAAUAAAAUUCUUUCCCAAAAUUCACACAUUUUUCAGGGAAUUCAUUCCACCAUAUAAGGGUGUAUUCAAUUCAUACUUAUAAAGACUUUUUUUAAGUGGGUGACUUUCAUAGAUAAGACAAAUUCUUAAAUACUUUCAUAGAGUUGAUAAAAGUCACUAGUAAAUUGACAAGACUUUUGCUAUUAACAAUUAGCCUUAAAAGUAUAGAAAAGUCAUUCAUUUAAUAAGCUUUUUAAAAGUCAUUAACUUUUUGGAUACCACCAAAUUUUUAAAUACUUUUUGAAAGUCAUAACUGAAUACCACCAAACUUUUAAAUACUUUUUAAAAGUCACAAUUGAAUACCACUAGACUUUUAUAUACUCUUUAAAAGUCUAAAUUGAAUACCUCCAGACUUUUAAACUCUAUAAAAGUCAUUAAAAGUUUGAAUUGGAUACACCCCCUGAUUGAAAUUAAACAAACUCCAAAAGCUAUAUGUACACACCACUCGUCCUUUAUUUCCACAAACCACUCCCUCCACUUCCAUGUUUCAUCCUACAUAACAAAUCCAUUCAGACGCACUCCACCACCGAUUUGAAUGGUCUGAUUGUGAAUUUGCUACAAUGUCAUGAAUGUGGGGUCGAAACUUGGCUCAUGUACUUUAUGGUAUUUUCUAAUUUCCAUGCCAUAUCGUUUUUUUUUUUUUUUUUUUGGGUCUGAAAUAUGGAAUUUUCAUAAAAAGGCAAACAGCCAAGAGAAGUACACAACCUAUAAAGCAGCUAAGCACAAAGAACAACAAGAAAUAAAACAUCACAGCUGCAUGGAAGGAGGACUAAUAAAAAGACGUAGUCAUAAGACAACCGGAUACGUCGAGAAGCCCACACAUCCGCAAACAUUAAGCACUCCUUGGGGGGCAUGGUAAACCUUCUUUGUUCAGGAUAUGCAUUGGAGAGGAUGGGGGUCGGUUGACCCAUACUUCCGGGCUCAUCCUCGAAAUGGCAAGCAUUGCCAAAUGAUCUGCCGCUUGGUUGGCGGUUCUAAGAAUCCACGUCCAAACGUAGGUCUGGAAGCAGUUCAAAACAUCUCGAACAGUACUUAGGAUAGGAUAGAUUUCCCACCUUCCAUUGGAUAAGGGGCCCUUCAAAGGAGAGAUUACUUCCUUGCAAUUAGAUUCAAAAGUUACUUGACGAUAACCCAUCUCAGCAGCAAGCUUACAGCCUUCAAGACAAGCCUGUGCCUCAGCCUCAAUAGCAGAGUUCGCCACAGAUGGGAUGGAUGAACCCUUGAUAAAGUCUCCAUGAGUGUUCCUAAUUAGGAUACCGAUGCCAACCCUCUUUGAGUUUGGAUUCCAUGAUGCAUCUACGUUGACUUUGACAAAGGGAGAGGCAGGGGGUUCCAAAGUUGUUGUUGGUUGUCAUUAGAAAGGGUAGGAUGCUCAGUUUGAUGUCUGCCAUGAUCAAGGGAGCCAAGGAAUUCAUUGAUGGCAAUAGAGGCAGCGUGGGUAGUUCUGGCUGGUGAAGGGAAGAUGUGUUCCAGCACUGCUUUGCACCUAUCAUUCCAGAUCUGCCAGCAGAAGUACGCGGUAACAGUUAGGCAUCUUAAUCGCUCCUGUGGGGUCUUCCAUUUCUCAAUAACAUUCCCUAACCAUUGGCCGAAAGAUGUCACCGCCUGACGAUUUAUACGAAGGUUGAGGGAGCAUCCGAACCAGACAGGCUCCACCCAAGGACAGAGGAGAAGGAUGUGUUCAGCCGUUUUCGGGUGAUCAUUACAGAGCGGACACAUGGGCGAUCUAGCGAUUUUCUUUUUAUGCAAGUUUGCCGAUGUAGCAAGGCAAUUUCUGAGAGCUCGCCACAGGAAGUUUUGAAUUUUUGGGGGGACAUCCGCUUUCCAAAUCUGCUUCCAAAGCCUUUGAUCAAUCGCCAUUGAAGAGGAUGGGCGUGGAUUUCUUCGUCUACAUUCAGUAUUGUGAAGCCAAUGGUAACCAGAGCGCACAGAGUAAGAACCAUUCCUUUCCAUAGGCCAAAUCAGUCGAUCUGGCAGUCUGCUGCUACCGAACUUGACUCUUGUAAUUGCACGGGCAUCACUAUCAGAAAUGGCGUGCCUAAUUGGGUCCAAGUUCCAUUCAUCGAGCUCCCUGUUAAUAAUAGCUUCCACUCGUAAGUUCCGAUCAAGAGUUUCAGUAGAAGGAAGGCGAGGACAAUCAUUAGAGAGUUUGGCAGCCAUCGGUCAACCCACAAUCUAAUAUGUGCCCCGUUCAUAACUUGCCAAUGAGCACCACGAAGUAGGAUAUCCCUGCCCUCAAGCAAGCUUGCCCAAGCCCACGAAGUACGACCACUCUUCUUAGCUUCCAAGAAACUGACAUUGGGGAAAUAUCUACCUUUAAGAACUUUAACCCACAGGGAUUGAGGCUCAAUCAAAAUUCUCCAGCAUUGCUUUGCGAGAAGAGCUAAGUUGAACUUGUGGAGGUUGCGAAAGCCCAUUCCCCCCUCAUGUUUAGGUUGUCCAAGGGUGUCCCAGUUGAUCCAAUGGAGCUUUCGAUUAUCUCCAAUCUGCCCCCACCAGAAGCCCGCCAAAACAGAAUCAAUUUCUUUGCAAAGGGUGGUAGGGAAUUUGAAGAUAUUCAUGGGAUAAGCUGGUACAGCAAGAGCCACCGAUUUAAUUAAGAUUUCACGGCCAGCUUGUGAAAGGCAAUGUUGAUUCCAGCCAUGCACCUUUCGAAGAAUUCGAUCUUUCACAUACACCAACGCUUCCUUCUUUGCUCUGCCCCAAGAAGUGGGAAGACCCAGGUAUUUCCCUGCAUCAGUAACAUCGGGCAUGCCUAGGAUUGCACACAUUGAAGCUCGGACAUAGGAAGGGGUGUUGGAGCUGAAAACCACAUUGGACUUGGUCAAGCUCACUUCUUGUCCAGACGCAGCGCAAUAUGCUUAAAGGAGGUGAGAGAUAUUCUGACAAUUUUGGGUGGUGGCUUUCAGGAAUAUGAGAGUAUCAUUUGCAAAUAAUAGGUGGGAUAAGGUAGGACCUCCAGAAUUCAGCUUAAUACCUUGUAACAAAUCUGUCUCACAAGCAUUUUUUAUUAGCAGGGACAAAACUUCACUAAUAAAAAGAAAUAAGUAAGGGGAGAUUGGGUCACCCUGCCGGAUACCCCGGGAUGGGGAGAAGGCUCCACCCCGUUGGCCAUUGAUCACCACAGUGAAGUUUACAGUUGUUACACAGCUCAUGACUAACUGAAUCCAACCUGCAUUAAACCCCAUUUUUUUGCAUAACCUUCUCAAGAAAAUCCCAUUCCACGCGGUCAUAAGCCUUAUUCAUAUCGAGUUUCACUCCCAUCUCAAACUUCUUCUUUGAUUUCUUGAGUUUCAGAGCAUGGAAAACUUCAUGGGCUACCAGGAUGUUAUCCUGGAUCUGUCGAUCAGGAACAAAUGCAUUUUGAGUUGGGGAGAUAAUGCUAGGUAGGUGAGGCUUAAGACGGUUGGCCAGAAUUUUGGAGAGGAUCUUGUAGGAGAAGUUGCACAAGCUAAUUGGCCUAAAUUGGGAGACAGCUUCAGGAUUAGGAAUCUUUGGAAUAAGGACUAUUUGUGUGGAGUUCAAAGGCUUGGGGAUGGCUUGGCCAGUGAAAAAAUCAGCAGUGAAGCCCUGAAUAUCAUUGUGAAUAAUUCCCCAGUAUUUGUGAUAGAAAGUCCCAUGAAAGCCAUCAGGCCCUGGAGCUUUCGUGGCCCCCAUCUGAAAAGCAGCAUCUUUAAUCUCCUCGAGUGUAAUUGGCCUGGUCAAGUCUUCAUGUCAUCAGUUACCACUGGUUCAAUACAAUUCAGGAUGGAAUUCCAAUCUCUGCUCCCACUUGAAGUAAACAGCUCUUUGAAAUACUCCUCAAAAGCCCUGCGAACUCCCUUCUGUGAUUGUUCCCAGUUGCCAUUUUCCCCUUUAAUUCUCGCGAUCUUGUUUUGUCUCCUUCUUUGGAUAGUCGCCUGGUGAAAGUAAGAGGUAUUGGAGUCGCCAUUUUGCAGCCAUUUGAUUCUGGAGCGCUGCUGCCAGAACACUCUUCUUUUCUCCAUAGAUCAUUCAACUUGGUCUUAAUACGAGAGAUAUUCUCGCUAUUUUCCUUCCAGCUGUGUUGCAUGAGGUUUAGUUGGUCCACCAGACUGUCUAUUUCGAUCUUGUUAUUCUUGAAUUUCCUUUUACUCCAAUCGGUAAGAUGGUUCCUUGCCAUAUCGUUAAGGAGUACCAUUUUGACUCACUGUGGAUUUCAUAUCAGUCAAUAUUAAAGAUCUGGGAAUGGGCUUAUGGUUCCAGCAUGGGCCGAGUCCGUUUGUAAUCUGAUCACUUGUGUGACAAAAAUGGAAAAUUUAUGGGGUAAACUAUCUCAGGAUUUUUAUUUUAAAUUUUCUGUUUUUCUUCUUAUCACCACCUGAUACAAUCAUGAGUGAUAUCUCAGCUCUAGAUCUGCACUUACACCCACCAAGACACACAUAUGGUAUUCCUUUGUGGGCCUUGAGUUUUAGCUAAUCGUGAAAUUGACGGAAUGUGUAAAUUGAUAUAGUCUUAAAAUAUUAUGUGCAAAUUGAUGAAAUUAAAACUCCAUAGCCGAUUUCGAUAAUGCCUUCUAAAUCCUGGAGAGUGAGUUUGAUUCUGCAAUAUUUUAAUUUAAUUUUUCAUUGGGUAUAAUGUCGUUCGCCCUAAAGUUAUCUAUUGUGGGUGGCAAUCAAACUUUGUGGUUUUUCACAUGUACACUUCCUACGUGGGUUGAAGAUAGACCACGUGUUCGUUUGUUUUAAGAGGUCCCUAAACCGGUGUCGUUUGCUGGUCCAAGAGAAAAAAGGCAUAGAAUUUAGCCGCGAACAACCAAAACCGCUCCUAAACCCUCUCAGUUUCAGACUUGAGAGUUGAGAGAGAAAUGUUUCGGAGCCGAGUUGUAGCGUUGUUUGUGAAGAACAACAGCAAAGCUCUGUACAAUCUCAGGGGAACGACGCCGUCUAGGGUUCUGAACGAGGAAUCUUAUCGAUUUUUCUCUAUUGGAGCCACACGCAAAUGCUUGGAUGGCUUUCGAUCUUUCUCUAAGGUUCCUUUCUCUCUUUGUUUUUUAAAAUUCUUUUGAAUUCAUUUUUGGAAAGUAAAUUCGAAAAAAGUAUAUUAAAGUUCAGUGCUUUAGAUUUUGGACGGUCGAUUGUGAAUGCGGAAUUAGGUAAGCAUUUCAGAACUGGGACAAACUUUGCAGUUUCAUUUCCAGCUGUGGAAUUUUUAUUUGAGUAGUAUUUUUUCUCAUAAUCAAAACCAUUCAGUUAAGAAUUUUGAGAUUUAAUUAUGAAAUAAUGGAUUUUGAGUUUCAUUUUGUUAUUGUAACGAAUGGGAAAAAGAUAUAGAUUGGAAUUAGAGAAUCAGGGAACUACGGGUUUUCAGUUGUAGCAGAUCAUCGAAUGCAGCUGCUUUUAAUCUUUAUUUUCUAUAGGUUGACUAUCAAUUUUUGAAGUAGCUCCUUUUCCCAUGAUGAAUAAAUGCACCAAAAACAAAUUUUUGCAAUUUAACUAGUUUGGCUGGGAUGUGUUGUGAAAUAAUAAAUAAAAAGGAAGUUUCUUAUGCCAUUUUCAGGGUAACUAUGUACCAUCUAUAAGGAAUAUGUCCACUGUUGCUUCUGUAGGCAUCGGAAAUAAGGAGGGAUUGAAGCUUCUUGUAAAUGGAGGACCUCGUGCUCAGAAAAUGGUUGGCAUUUGGCUUUUUGGCUCUGCUGCAUGGGUGUUUAGUAUGGUGAUACUUGGCGGGAUUACACGACUAACGCGAUCUGGUCUUUCAAUGACUGAUUGGAAAUUUACUGGGGGGCUUCCUCCUCUCUCAGAUGAGGAUUGGUUGCUUGAGUUUGAGAAGUACAAGCAGUCCCCUGAGUAUAAGCGGUUAGUGCAAAGUGGAAACGGCACUGUACAUUUUUGCAGCAAUUGUUUUAGUUUUCAUUUUAAGCACUUUGUAGCUCAUAGUGAUCUGCCUCUAAACUUGAAAUUACAUUAAAAGUCUUCCAGAAUUCCUUAAAGUUUGAUUACAAAUGCAAUCCUCUAUUAGGUGGAAGCAAAGCAGAAAAUAUGUGCUUUGAACUGAAUGACUGUAUGAGUGAUGAUAAUUUUACUGUUCAGGUGUCUAUCUAGCUUUUGUAGUUGACUUUAACCCAGAUUUGUAGGAUUGACGAAUUACAUAUUUGAUAUUACAUUGUUGCUUUCAAUGGGAGUUGAAGUUCUUUUGGACCCUUAUAAUAUUACCUGGUUCUUGAUCUCAUGUAGUGUAAAUCGAGGGAUGAGUAUUGAAGAUUUCAAAUUCAUCUAUUGGAUGGAAUAUGCACAUCGAAUGUGGGGAAGGGCACUGGGAAUUAUGUUUGCGUUGCCCUUCUCAUAUUUUCUCCGUAAGGGGUAUAUUACCGUACAGCUUGGACUGAGACUGUCUGCUCUUUUUGGUCUUGGUGCUGGGCAGGGUUUAAUUGGCUGGUGGAUGGUUAAAAGUGGUUUAGAGGUCAGUUAUGGUUUCUUUUGUCGUGGUUUUGAUUGGAAUUUAAUAAAAGCGAUGAAUUUUUGAAAUAAUUCUCUCUCACAGGAGCCAGCAUCUGAAUAUUCUCAGCCAAGAGUAAGCCCUUACCGUCUUGCAGCUCAUCUUACUUCAGCCUUUGCUAUAUACUGUGGCCUUUUAUGGACAGGUCUUUCUGUUGUCAUGCCUGAACCACCUUCUGAAUCACUAGCUUGGGUUCGUGGAGCAGCAAAGGUGAAGCGACUUGCUCUUCCUGUAAGCUUACUUGUCGGAGUAACUGCUGUCUCAGGAGCAUUCGUUGCCGGGAAUGAUGCUGUAUGUAUUUUUUGUUUUCCUUCUUGCCUUUCACAAUGAACUGAAUGGAUGGUAUGUGACUUUUCCUGAGUAGGAGAUUAUAAAUAUUCUUGUGUGUGAAAAUUCCAGGGGCAUGCUUAUAAUACUUUUCCAAAGAUGGGGGAUACGUGGAUCCCGGAGGAUGUUUUUGACAUGAAGCCACUAAUCCGGAACUUCUUUGAGAAUACAUCUACUGUGCAGGUAUCUUUCUGACCAAAGAAUAUAUUUUAUUUUAGUUUUUUGCGACUUAAUGUUGCUAUAUGUUAGCUCUAAGGUUGCUUUCCUGAUGACAAGGGAAAUAUUACAAAAAAAGGGAGUUAAAAAUUUGAAAGAUAUCUGAUUUUAAGUUUCUUCCUUCACUAUAAAACAUCUGUUUUCUGUAGGAACAAAUGAAAUGUGAUUAUGUUAUCAUCUUUAUAAAAAAAAAGUUAUUGUUUUUAAGGCCAUUGAAAUGCGUUUCGGCUAGCAGCAGUUUCUGUGUCUUCUUUGAGCUUACACUGUAAUUUCUUGUGAUGAUAACCAUUUUCGUUAGGCGACUUUGCUUUUGUGAAAUUAUAGAAUUGAUAAAUCUUCUACUGUGUAUUAGCUUGUUCUGUAAUCUUUUCAAAUUUCAAACAUUUAGUAGGGUUGUGAUUAAUUAUUGUUCUUCCUGUUUGUAGCUUGAUCAUCGUAUCCUUGCAACUGCAACUUUAUUUUCAAUUGGUGCUUUGUGGUGGUCAACAAGGAAGUUUGACAUACAUCCUGCAGUUCGGUCUUUGAUUGGAAGUGCUGUAGGCAUGGCUGGCCUUCAGGUAUAUAUGGUUUCCAACUUUUUAUUCCUUUUUUUUCUCUUCUCCUUGGAAUUAAUUAUUUAGUUUGACCAGGUUGAUUUUAAUUGCUUUGCACAAUUCGUUGUGUUAUUGUUGCAGGUCACGCUGGGAAUAUCUACACUGCUGUCAUAUGUGCCUGUAGAGCUUGGUACAGCACAUCAAGCUGGGGCUUUGACUCUCCUGACACUGAUGAUCCUUCUCAAUCACACUUUGCGUAGGCCAUCAUCGUCUCUCCUUAAAUCUCUACCUCAAGUUGCAAAGACAAUCUAGAUGACUUUGUAGUACAAUUUUGGAACAACCAUUUGACGUUUUAAUUGGAUGAAACAAAAAGAUUUAUUGGAUUCUUGUGCUCUAUGUAUAUAUCGCUGGCAAUCAAGGAGUUAUUUUCUAGAUGUGCAGAGAUGUGCUUGUAGUUCCAUUGUUAUCGAGUGACCACCAGUUCUUCAGCUUACCGAGGACACCUUUGAGUGGUAAGUGGUAAUUCCUGAUUCUGAGAUGGAGGAGCAUAGUGAGCCUGAGUUUUUGGGGCAGUUUUGCAUUUGGGAAAUAUUAAUUUGUGAUAGAUAUAGGUUCCCGUAGAAUGAUUUCUGAUAUGAGUUCUUUUCCUACCAUAACCAUAAGUAUUUGUGAUGGUUGAUACUAGUCUAUAUCUACAUCAGAAGUCCCAGUCGCAUUUGAAUCAUAUACCCAAAAAAAACACGGUAAAAACUAUGAUUGGUUCGUAUCAGGCCCAUAAGUAAGCCCACCUCUCAAGGGAUUUAAUCGAUAUUGGCGACAAUGUCGAACUACGAGAGAGAGAGAGAGAGUUGGGCUGAUUAAAUCAAAUGCAAAUAAUAAGAUUUGAGAUGGGUCUUUCUGCUGGUGAUUAAAAAGCAAAUAAUAAGAAAAUGCACAAUUCAUGUUUUGUGCCAAGUUGUUAUGAUGAUAUCCUAGUUUUGGAAUGAAUCAUCGUCGAUUUCAUGACAUGCAAUGCCAAUGAAAUUGUUAAAUAAGCAAUUGUGUGGGUUCAAAGCUUAUCAGUAAUCCCACUAACGUUUCAAUAACACAUAAAUUGAUUGAUAUGUGGCCCUGUGCAACGUAUGGGAUGACCUGACAAGACAAGACUACCAGCCCCUAAUUUUGUGGUUAACCUUUCAAGCAGUGAGGCGUUGGAACCUUUCAAGUGAUAAUCCAACCCAACCCACUAACUAGUGCAUUUCCAUGAACAAGUUAAUGACGAGGCCUCAUUAAUUCUAGCCGGCUGAGAUUUUGGUUGUUGACUAAUCAACUUUAAAAGUUACUUACCCAUCUUCAGUUUUAACAAAUAAAUAAUUCAAAGGAUUUUCUCCCACGUUGUGUAUUCAGCGGUGGAGGAGAGCGAGCCGCUUAUAUCCAAUUAAAUUUAUUCUUUUUACAAUUUAAAAUUCAGCAACGAUGUCAAUGUUUUUUCUCCCACGUUCUUUUUUGAACUGCCAUAAAGUUGGAAAACAAAAGGAAGAAAAUUUGAAGCAAGAGUUUUACUUUUACAAGUUACACAAUGACGAAUCUUUUUCAUUUCCCAUGCACAAACACCAAAAGCCAUAUCCUAGUCACCAAGUCGUUCCUAGCAUUUUCCUUGUCUUUUUGCAUGAUUAGUUGUGCCUUUUCGAAGACUAUAAUUUCAACGAACGGUGGGGGAUGAUUCAAGGACCUCGCAAGACUUUAAGCCCCUAAUUUUGUGGUUCACCUUUCAAGCACCAAGGCUGGCCCCCUCCAAAAUUCUUCCUACAGAUUGUUUUUUGGUCAAGAGGCUUCCUACAGAUUUAGGAAGAAUAUAUAAGUACAAGACAAGUGUUAUUGCUUGUGGCCCCCUCACAACACAGACAAGUUAUUUUGGUUUCCUCCUCCCCCAAACCCCAAAUAUAGGUAUAAAAAAUAAACAACGUAAAAAAUGUUAUUGCAUGCUAAUGUAGUGAGAAGACGUACCAUUCUUCGUGUAACAAUUAUGGAAGCAGCUUUUAGAUACUUGAUAUGAAUCAUGAUUAUAAUCACAUAUGUCUUUUUACACAAGGAAGAUACUUUUAAAAAAAAUAAAAAUAAAUAGACACAUGGCUUUGGAGCUCUAGUAUAAAGCUCACAUUGUACCCACCUAAUCUUUCAUUAAGACUAGCUAGCUAGCACUCUCUCUAUAUCUCUUGAAACUCUGUGCUUGAGUGACAUUUCUCUCUCUCCCUCUCCCAAAUGGCUGAAAUGGCUAAGUGAUCUUUGAUUAUAUGUAUGUACUUUGUAGUUCUCAC